rnacentral:rRNA from 1 species
UACGUAGGGGGCGAGCGUUGUCCGGAGUACUGGGCGUAAAGCGCACGCAGGCGGUCUGUUAAGUUUGGAGUGACAGUUGGUGGCUCAACCACCAAAGUGCUUUGAAAACUGAUAGACUUGAGGGCUUCAGAGGGACACGGAAUUCCGGGUGGAGUGGUGAAAUGCGUAGAGAUCCGGAGGAACACCAAAGGCGAAGGCAGUGUCCUGGGGAGUACCUG